AACUAAAAAGAGGCAGGGUCAUAUUAAACUCAUAAGAUCUUAGAAUGUGACAAUCAAAGAUCUAGGAUCACUCUGAACAUAAUUGACUCGAUGGUGGUGGGAUCAAUAAUACAGAGCUGGAUGAAAGAAUUUAAAAGAAACCAAUUCUUUAUUGAAGUUAAUUGACCAGGCUUACUGUUCUCUCUCUUUCUCAGUCAAAGCAGCCUUACUCAGCAAUGGAUCUUUCUAUGCACAAGAAUGUUAAAGAUUGGAUUGCAUGUAAUUAUUUCAUCUGCCAUUUGGGAUGGAUAUAUCACAUUCAGUUCAUUUGUGUCUUUCAUUGGCUACAGCCUACAAGCAUUACUUCUCUGCAGCUGACAUGGUUUACUGUGUUUCUUCCUUUUAGAAAAAAUU